rnacentral:tRNA from 1 species
AGUAUGUUCGCCUAAUGGUAAGGCAUAGUAUUACGGCUACUAAAAUAUGAGUUCAAGUCUCGUACAUGCUG